CAAAAAAUAGUUUAAGUAAAAAUAUUAAUUUUGGAGAUUAAAGAUAUGAGGAUAUUAUUUUUUUGA
rnacentral:tRNA from 1 species